rnacentral:lncRNA from 1 species
CUCUUUAGAAUGUCACUCACUCCAUAAAUACUAAUGGGGCAUCUGCUAAGUGCCAGGCUCGGCUGCAGGUAUUGGGUACUUAGCAAUGAACAAGACACAGCGUCCCUGCAUUUGUGUUUGCUCUGUAGUGGGAGGAGAGGCAGUGUGCCGAGACAUUUAGUGUGUCUAUGUCUGGUGGUAAGUGUUGUGGAGGAAGGGAGUGCAGAAUGGCUGUGGGAAGUGCUGGGCGUGACUUACAUCUGAGCCAGGAGGGAGGGGGAGGGGAGCCACAGGUUGGAGAAGCAAAAUGAGGGGUGGACACAGGGAAGAUUGGAUUCUCUGGGGCUUGUUGUUGGGGAGGAAGAAACUCAUCUAGAAAGGAAAAAAUGUGGGGGCAAGGCUGGUGCAGAACUUCCGAGCCUCUGGAUCUCAGCUGCACCAAACCAAAGAGGAGCUGGAGUGGGGCUCUGGGGAGACCUCUGUUCACGGGGCUGUGGGUCCCCUUCCUGCAUCCCAUAUGCAGCUGAGAUUAUAAUGACAGCGCUGCGGCCAGUUUGUCACUUCAGACUUGCCGAAGCCAUCUCUUGUCACUUCCUCUCCAUAAACAUGACUUCCUGUGGGGGCUGGAUUAUGAUUAACUCACCUGUUACUUCGUGGUGCUGUGGGAUGCCAGGCAGCUUCACUGGACA